CCCUUAGACGUUCUGGGCCGCACGCGCGCUACACUGACCAGUGCAACAAGCAUCCGUCCUUGGCCGACAGGCUCGGGCAAUCUUUGAACGCUGGUCGUGAUGGGGAUAGACUUUUGCAAUUUUUGGUCUUCAACGAGGAAUUCCUAGUAAACGCAAGUCAUCAACUUGCAUUGAUUACGUCCCUGCCCUUUGUACACACCGCCCGUCGCACCUACCGAUUGAAUGGUCCGGUGAAAUCCUCGGAUCGAGCCGUGGGGCAACUCCGGUUCGAGAAGUUGAUUAAACCUUACCAUUUAGAGGAAGGUGAAGUCGUAACA
rnacentral:rRNA from 1 species